UACCAAUGCCAAGAAAAAUAGAAAUACUGACAGAGCUUUUGUUUAUUAUUUAUAUUCUCUUCAGACACUUCUUCCCAUGGCAUCACCAAAUCAGGCUUCCCCCAUCACCACAGAGUUGAGGCAGCCCCAGCUCACCUUUCCCUCUGCUCCUGACUGAAAUUCCAGCUGGAAGAGCAGCCCUUCCCUGCUUGAGAAGCACAUGAGACGGACUCGGUAUGCGAUGUCGCACCUGGGAUACAUCACACUCCUCAGGAACAUCUGCAGGCCACCAGCAGGGCUCAAGAGGAUGUGAGGAGGCCCUCAAACAACCCCAUCCCACUGAGUGGGACCUCUCUGCGUGGUCACCCUGGAGAGAGGCACCAGCUGGGACUAAGUUCAUCAGCCAGCUUUUGUCCAGGAGCAGCCCUGCAGCAGCCCCGCUGGUUGGAUGGAGACCGACGGAAGCUUCCCGGUGUGGCAGCCCCAGGCUGCAGCAGAGACACGGAGCUGUAUUCCUGCCUCUGAUCUGA
rnacentral:lncRNA from 1 species